rnacentral:rRNA from 1 species
UACAUGCAAGUCGAACGCUUUGUGGUUCAACUGAUUUGAAGAAGCUUGCUCAGAUAUGACGAUGGACAUUGCAAAGAGUGGCGAACGGGUGAGUAACACGUGGGAAACCUACCUCUUAGCAGGGGAUAACAUUUGGAAACAGAUGCUAAUACCGUAUAACAAUGACAACCGCAUGGUUGUUAUUUAAAAGAUGGUUCUGCUAUCACUAAGAGAUGGUCCCGCGGUGCAUUAGCUAGUUGGUAAGGUAAUGGCUUACCAAGGCGAUGAUGCAUAGCCGAGUUGAGAGACUGAUCGGCCACAAUGGGACUGAGACACGGCCCAUACUCCUACGGGAGGCAGCAGUAGGGAAUCUUCCACAAUGGGCGAAAGCCUGAUGGAGCAACGCCGCGUGUGUGAUGAAGGGUUUCGGCUCGUAAAACACUGUUGUAAGAGAAGAAUGACAUUGAGAGUAACUGUUCAAUGUGUGACGGUAUCUUACCAGAAAGGAACGGCUAAAUACGUGCCAGCAGCCGCGGUAAUACGUAUGUUCCAAGCGUUAUCCGGAUUUAUUGGGCGUAAAGCGAGCGCAGACGGUUAUUUAAGUCUGAAGUGAAAGCCCUCAGCUCAACUGAGGAAUUGCUUUGGAAACUGGAUGACUUGAGUGCAGUAGAGGAAAGUGGAACUCCAUGUGUAGCGGUGAAAUGCGUAGAUAUAUGGAAGAACACCAGUGGCGAAGGCGGCUUUCUGGACUGUAACUGACGUUGAGGCUCGAAAGUGUGGGUAGCAAACAGGAUUAGAUACCCUGGUAGUCCACACCGUAAACGAUGAGUGCUAGGUGUUUGAGGGUUUCCGCCCUUAAGUGCCGCAGCUAACGCAUUAAGCACUCCGCCUGGGGAGUACGACCGCAAGGUUGAAACUCAAAGGAAUUGACGGGGACCCGCACAAGCGGUGGAGCAUGUGGUUUAAUUCGAAGCAACGCGAAGAACCUUACCAGGUCUUGACAUCCCUUGACAACUCCAGAGAUGGAGUGUUCCCUUCGGGGACAAGGUGACAGGUGGUGCAUGGUUGUCGUCAGCUCGUGUCGUGAGAUGUUGGGUUAAGUCCCGCAACGAGCGCAACCCUUAUUACUAGUUGCCAGCAUUCAGUUGGGCACUCUAGUGAGACUGCCGGUGACAAACCGGAGGAAGGUGGGGAUGACGUCAAAUCAUCAUGCCCCUUAUGACCUGGGCUACACACGUGCUACAAUGGCGUAUACAACGAGUUGCCAACCCGCGAGGGUGAGCUAAUCUCUUAAAGUACGUCUCAGUUCGGAUUGUAGGCUGCAACUCGCCUACAUGAAGUCGGAAUCGCUAGUAAUCGCGGAUCAGCACGCCGCGGUGAAUACGUUCCCGGGUCUUGUACACACCGCCCGUCACACCAUGAGAGUUUGUAACACCCAAAGCCGGUGGGGUAACCUUCGGGAGCCAGCCGUCUAA